CGGACGGGUGAGUAACGCGUAAGAACCUGCCCUUGGGAGGGGACAACAGCUGGAAACGGUUGCUAAUACCCCAUAAGCUGAGGAGCGAAAGGAGGAAUCCACCUAAGGAGGGGCUUGCGUCUGAUUAGCUAGUUGGUGAGGCAAUGGCUUACCAAGGCGACGAUCAGUAGCUGGUCUGAGAGGAUGAUCAGCCACACUGGGACUGAGACACGGCCCAG
rnacentral:rRNA from 1 species